ACAGGGAUUGCCCUAGUAACGGCGAGUGAAGCGGCAACAGCUCAAAUUUGAAAUCUGGCUCCUUUGGGGUCCGAGUUGUAAUUUGCAGAGGGAGCUUUUGGCGUCGGUCGUGGUCUAAGUUCCUUGGAACAGGACGUCACAGAGGGUGAGAAUCCCGUACGUGGCCGCCGGCCUUCGCCUUGUAAAGCCCCUUCGACGAGUCGAGUUGUUUGGGAAUGCAGCUCUAAAUGGGAGGUAAAUUUCUUCUAAAGCUAAAUACCCGCCAGAGACCGAUAGCGCACAAGUAGAGUGAUCGAAAGAUGAAAAGCACUUUGGAAAGAGAGUGAAAAAGCACGUGAAAUUGUUGAAAGGGAAGCGCUUGCGGCCAGACGUGCCCGCGGUUGAUCAUCCAGGCUCCAGCCUGGUGCACUCCUCCGCGGGCAGGCCAGCAUCAGUUCGGGCGGUCGGAUAAAGGCCUCUAUCACGUACCACCCCUCGGGGUGGCCUUAUAGGGGAGGCGCAACACGGCCAGCCCGGACUGAGGUUCCGCGCAUCUGCUAGGAUGCUGGCGUAAUGGCAGCAAGCGGCCCGUCUUGAAACACGGACCAAGGAGUCUAACAUCUAUGCGAGUGUUUGGGUGUCAAGCCCGAGCGCGCAAUGAAAGUGAACGGAGGUGGGAACCCUUACCGGUGCACCAUCGACCGAUCCUGAUGUCUUCGGAUGGAUUUGAGUAAGAGCAUAGCUGUUGGGACCCGAAAGAUGGUGAACUAUGCCUGAAUAGGGUGAAGCCAGAGGAAACUCUGGUGGAGGCUCGCAGCGGUUCUGACGUGCAAAUCGAUCGUCAAAUUUGGGCAUAGGGG
rnacentral:rRNA from 1 species